AAUCCAUAGGUUAAUGAGGCGAACCGGGGGAACUGAAACAUCUAAGUACCCCGAGGAAAAGAAAUCAACCGAGAUUCCCCCAGUAGCGGCGAGCGAACGGGGAGGAGCCCAGAGCCUGAAUCAGCAUGUGUGUUAGUGGAAGCGUCUGGAAAGGCGCGCGAUACAGGGUGACAGCCCCGUACACAAAAGCGCAUGUGCUGUGAGCUCGAUGAGUAGGGCGGGACACGUGGUAUCCUGUCUGAAUAUGGGGGGACCAUCCUCCAAGGCUAAAUACUCCUGACUGACCGAUAGUGAACCAGUACCGUGAGGGAAAGGCGAAAAGAACCCCGGCGAGGGGAGUGAAAAAGAACCUGAAACCGUGUACGUACAAGCAGUGGGAGCCC
rnacentral:rRNA from 1 species